rnacentral:rRNA from 1 species
UGCAAGUCGAGCGGUAGACACAGUAGAGCUGUGCUCUCGGGUGACGAGUGGCGGACGGGUGAGUAAUGUCUGGGAAACUGCCUGAUGGAGGGGGAUAUCUACUGGAAACGGUAGCUAAUACCGCAUAAUGUCGCAAAACCAAAGAGGGGGACCUUCCGGCCUCUUGCCAUCAAAUGUGCCCCGAUGGGAUUAGCUAGUAGGUGGGGUGACGGCUCACGUAAGCAACUAUCCCUAGCUGGUCUGAAAGGAUGACCACCCACACUGGAACUGACACACGGUCCACACUCCUACGGGAGGCAUCAGUGGGGAAUAUUGCACAAUGGGCGCAAGCCUGAUGCAUCCCUGCCGCGUGUAUAAAGAAUGCCUUCUGGUUGUAAAGUACUUUCAGCGGGGAGGAAGGUGAUUUGGUUAAUAACCUUGUCGAUUGACGUUACCCGCAUAAGAACCACCGGCUAACUCCGUGCCAGCAGCCGCGGUACUACGGAUGGUGCAAGCGUUAAUCUUAAUUACUGGGCGUAAAGCGCACGCCGGCGGUCUGUCAAGUCUGAUGUGAAAUCCCCGGGCUCUUGCUGAGGAGCUGCAUUCAAUGCUGGCCUGCUAGUGUCUUGUAGGAUGGUGGUAUAAUUCCGUGUGUAGCGGUGAAAUGCGUAGAGAUCUGGAGGAAUACCUGGUGGAGAGCGCCGCCCCCCUGGACAACUACUGACUGCUCAUGUGCGAAAGCGUGGAGCAGCACACGAGUAUUAUAUACCCCUGAUACUCCGCCGCCAUACGCUGAUGUACGAUUUCGAUGUUGUGCCUCGUUAGACGUCUAUGGCUUCCAGCAUCUACGCUGUAUAUAUCCGACCCCUCCUUGGAGUAUUACUGCCCCACAACG